rnacentral:rRNA from 1 species
UACGUAGGGGGCUAGCGUUGUUCGGAAUUACUGGGCGUAAAGCGCACGUAGGCGGAUAUUUAAGUCAGGGGUGAAAUCCCGGGGCUCAACCCCGGAACCGCCUUUGAUACUGGGUAUCUCGAGUCCGAGAGAGGUGAGUGGAAUUCCGAGUGUAGAGGUGAAAUUCGUAGAUAUUCGGAGGAACACCAGUGGCGAAGGCGGCUCUCUGGGACGUGACUGACGCUGAGACGCGAAAGCGUGGGGAGCAAACAGG